rnacentral:lncRNA from 1 species
AUUUCCUUAUAUGGACUUUUAAAAACAUCACAUGGCCAAUUCUGCCUGAGCUCACUUAAGCUUCUACUUCCUUAGAUGUAAAAGAUAGACCCUGUGACCUCUCUGGGUUUUGUUUGUUCUCUCUCUCUCUCUCCUUCUCUCUCUUUCUUGUUUUGGGUUCAUCCAUAUUUCAUCAUAUAAUUUUGCUUUUUAUUUUCUUCUAAGGCAAGAAGUACUGAAGCCAGUUCUCAAAAAAUCGAGUGCCAGCUAUGCACAAAGAAGGCAUAGCACUGUCACCAGAGACCCUCGAAGAUCAGAAUCACAAGCUGUAAUCUUCUGGAGAGACUGAAUUUUCUCCCAUCCUAAGGAGGUGAAUCAUGAUCAAGUUUUAUAAUCCCGAGGUGGUCCUCAUUCCUUUUGCCAAUAAUUGAAACAAGGCGUAGGUGGAAGAAAUCCUGGCUAAUGACCUGAAAGGAAGUCUGCUGAGUGGCUUCUAGGAAAGAUUUUCAUGGAGGGAGAUAAAAAGCCACGUUUAUUUGGAAGAGAUAUUUCUUGCCACUGUUCCGG